CAGCAGUCGCCGCGGGAAUACGAAGGGUGCAAGCGUUAAUCGGAAUUACUGGGCGUAAAGCGCACGUAGGCGGCUUGGUGAGUUAGAGGUGAAAGCCUGGAGCUCAACUCCAGAAUUGCCUUUAAGACUGCCGAGCUAGCAGGUGAGAGAGGUAAGUGGAAUUCCGAGUGUAAAGGUGAAAUUCGUAGAUAUUCGGAAGAACACCAGUGGCGAAGGCGGCUUACUGGCUCAUACUGGACGCUGAGGUGCGAAAGCGUGGGGAGCAAACAGGAUUAGAUACCCCCGUAGUCCCUGUCUCUUAUAC
rnacentral:rRNA from 1 species